rnacentral:rRNA from 1 species
AGCAGUGGGGAAUUUUGGACAGUGGGCGCAAGCCUGAUCCAGCAAUGCCGCGUGAGUGAAGAAGGCCUUCGGGUUGUAAAGCUCUUUUGUCAGGGAAGAAACGGCUGAGGUUAGUACCUUUGGCUAAUGACGGUACCUGAAGAAUAAGCACCGGCUAACUACGUGCCAGCAGCCGCGGUGAUACGUAGGGUGCAAGCGUUAAUCGGAAUUACUGGGCGUAAAGCGUGCGCAGGCGGUUUUGUAAGUCUGACGUGAAAUCCCCGGGCUCAACCUGGGAAUUGCGUUGGAGACUGCAAGGCUGGAGUCUGGCAGAGGGGGGUAGAAUUCCACGUGUAGCAGUGAAAUGCGUAGAGAUGUGGAGGAACACCGAUGGCGAAGGCAGCCCCCUGGGUCAAGACUGACGCUCAUGCACGAAAGCGUGGGGAGCAAACAGGAUUAGAUACCCUGGUAGUCCACGCCCUAAACGAUGUCUACUAGUUGUCGGGUCUUAAUUGACUUGGUAACGCAGCUAACGCGUGAAGUAGACCGCCUGGGGAGUACGGUCGCAAGAUUAAAACUCAAAGGAAUUGACGGAA